CAUGCCAUCCAGACUAAGGAAGACCUGGAAACUCCGGGGCCACAUGAGCCACAGCAGCAUCGGUAAGCACAACAAGCACCCAGGAGGCCAUGGAAAUGCUCGAGGAGUGCAUUACCACAGACUCAACUUUGACAAAUAUCAUCCAGGUUACUUUGGGAAAGUUGGUGUGAGGCGUUACCACAUGAAGAGGAACCAGAGCUUCUGCCCAACUGUCAACCUGGAUGAAUUGUGGACGUUGGGUCAGGGAGCAGGCACUGGUCAAUGCGGCAAAGAACAAGACUGGAGCUGCUCCCAUCACUGAUGUUGUGUGAUCAGGCUACUACAGAGUUCUGGGCAGGGAAAGCUCCCUGAGCAACUUGUCAUCAUGAAGGCUACGUGCCUCAGCAGAAGAGCUGAGGAGAAGAUUAAGGGUGUUGAGGUGCCUGUGUUCUGGUGGCUUAAAAGCCACUCUGAAGGUUA
rnacentral:lncRNA from 1 species